rnacentral:rRNA from 1 species
CUCGGCAACGGAUAUCUCGGCUCUCGCAUCGAUGAAGAACGUAGCGAAAUGCGAUACUUGGUGUGAAUUGCAGAAUCCCGUGAACCAUCGAGUCUUUGAACGCAAGUUGCGCCCGAAGCCUUCGGGCCGAGGGCACGCCUGCCUGGGCGUCACGCAUCGCGUCGCCCCCCUCCCCCCCGCC